rnacentral:rRNA from 1 species
GGGUUGUGAGGUUAAGCGACUAAGCGUACACGGUGGAUGCCCUGGCAGUCAGAGGCGAUGAAGGGCGUGCUAAUCUGCGAUAAGCGCCGGUAAGGUGAUAUGAACCGUUAUAACCGGCGAUACCCGAAUGGGGAAACCCAGUGUGAUUCGUCACACUAUCAUUACGUGAAUACAUAGCGUAAUGAAGCGAACCGGGGGAACUGAAACAUCUAAGUACCCCGAGGAAAAGAAAUCAACCGAGAUUCCCCCAGUAGCGGCGAGCGAACGGGGAGGAGCCCAGAGCCUGAAUCAGCAUGUGUGUUAGUGGAAGCGUCUGGAAAGGCGCGCGAUACAGGGUGACAGCCCCGUACACAAAAGCGCAUGUGUUGUGAGCUCGAUGAGUAGGGCGGGACACGUGGUAUCCUGUCUGAAUAUGGGGGGACCAUCCUCCAAGGCUAAAUACUCCUGACUGACCGAUAGUGAACCAGUACCGUGAGGGAAAGGCGAAAAGAACCCCGGCGAGGGGAGUGAAAAAGAACCUGAAACCGUGUACGUACAAGCAGUGGGAGCACCCUUUGGGGUGUGACUGCGUACCUUUUGUAUAAUGGGUCAGCGACUUAUAUUCUGUAGCAAGGUUAACCGAAUAGGGGAGCCGGAGGGAAACCGAGUCUUAAUUGGGCGUUAAGUUGCAGGGUAUAGACCCGAAACCCGGUGAUCUAGCCAUGGGCAGGUUGAAGGUUGGGUAACACUAACUGGAGGACCGAACCGACUAAUGUUGAAAAAUUAGCGGAUGACCUGUGGCUGGGGGUGAAAGGCCAAUCAAACCGGGAGAUAGCUGGUUCUCCCCGAAAGCUAUUUAGGUAGCGCCUCGUGAACUCAUCUCCGGGGGUAGAGCACUGUUUCGGCUAGGGGGCCAUCCCGGCUUACCAACCCGAUGCAAACUGCGAAUACCGGAGAAUGUUAUCACGGGAGACACACGGCGGGUGCUAACGUCCGUCGUGAAGAGGGAAACAACCCAGACCGCCAGCUAAGGUCCCAAAGUCAUGGUUAAGUGGGAAACGAUGUGGGAAGGCCCAGACAGCCAGGAUGUUGGCUUAGAAGCAGCCAUCAUUUAAAGAAAGCGUAAUAGCUCACUGGUCGAGUCGGCCUGCGCGGAAGAUGUAACGGGGCUAAACUAUGCACCGAAGCUGCGGCAGCGACACU